UACAGAGGUGGCAAGCGUUGUUCGGAAUUACUGGGCGUAAAGGGCGCGUAGGCGGCCUUCUUAGUCGGACGUGAAAUCCCCGGGCUCAACCCGGGAACUGCGUCCGAUACUGGAAGGCUUGAAUCCGGGAGAGGGAUGUGGAAUUCCAGGUGUAGCGGUGAAAUGCGUAGAUAUCUGGAGGAACACCGGUGGCGAAGGCGACAUCCUGGACCGGUAUUGACGCUGAGGCGCGAAAGCCAGGGGAGCAAACGGG
rnacentral:rRNA from 1 species